ensembl:lncRNA
AUGGGAAUCUGUUGUAACCAGGGAAGGGAACUGCCUCCAGGCACAGAGAGUUUGGAGUCUGGGAUACUGUCACCAAGAGCCCAGGACCCACAGCUGGGCCCCUCCCUAGAGUCUUCCUGCAGCAAGGCUCUCCUCCAGGGGGGCUGUCAAUGUUUCCCCAGGGUGGGGCUAAGCCAGAGCCUGGAGGUUUGCCCCUGGGGCACAGAUUCCCCCGGUCACUUGCCCCCAGCGGGCUGCAGGGAAGGAGGCUGUGAAGGGAGGAGGGCAGGCUCUUCCCUUGCAAGGAUGGGAGCCCCAGGAGAGGCAUUCCUGCUCUGGGAACUGCCUCCCUCCCCAACAUCACAGCCAGCCCUCAGAAGCUUGGCCAAGCUGACCUUGAUCUCUGCCAGGGAGGCUGAAAGAACAUCCAGCCCCACCUUUGAUUUCCUCCCACCUCAGGCUAGGCCACAUCUAGGCUGGCCAGGGAGACUGUUCUCCUCAUAUGCCCCCCUGCACAGGUGUCUAGAUGUCCAGAGUGCCACUAGAACACAUGCAGGGUUAAAAACUAUCUCUAUACUGAAGCAGGCUGAGCUGAACCCUGGUGCCUUCCCAAGACAUCACCCAGCCAUGGGGAGCAGGCUUAGGUUCAUUUUUGCUGAGUCUGCAAUCAAACCAAGACAUCCCAUUUUUUUGGCUUUGUGGUCUCAGCACUCAGCACCUAAGAGAUGCCUUUGUGGAACCUCCUGCUCAGCCUUGAAUUCUGGCAUGGGUCUGGGGUUGUCACUCAAUCCUACCAACUGGCUAGACCACCUUGCCUCAGCCCCUCCUGUCAGGAACCUUGUUUUGCAGACUGACUGUCUCAUAGGAAUAUUGUUGAAUCAAGGAGAGUCUCAUACACCAGGUCAGGGGCAGUGGCCUCUGCAUGGUGCAGUCCUUGGCAGGACCUUUUCCUCCUUGGCCAGGCUCCAGCUCCAAGCUGGCAUAUUUCACUCCUUCAGAUGCUGGUGUGUAAACACUGUGGUUUCCUCCUCUGGGUCCUCUUCUCAAGGUUUUCCUCUGCAUCUUGCUGGUCUGGAAUUGCAGCAACACUUCAAGUAUUCCGGAGUGUGA